CAAAAGUCUAUACUGUGUAUAUUAUGUUUUUUUCUGAUCUGAUAACCAAGAUGGCUGCCAAGUGACUAACAGGCAGGUAACAUACACAGAGUGGAUAUGCUGGACAAAGGGAUGGCAUGGUAUGGUGCAAGAUUUCAGCAUGUUUGUCAGAAUGGUGCAACACUUAAAAUGUGUUCAUUGUUUCUGGGAUUUUCUAUUUAAUAUUUUCAGACCACAGUUGACCAUGAGUAACUGAAACUGCAGAAAGCAAAACCUCAACUAAGGUAGGACUACCAUGACAGUGGGGCUGCAGAGUGUUAUACAAUGUUAAUGUGAAAAGCGGGUACUGAUUUUUCCCUUGAAAGAAUUGUUACUUGCCCUAGGGUCAGGGCAUGGAAGUGGAGUGGUACAGGGGGAUGGUAAGGCAGAGAGGACAAAGGGUGAUUUUGGGACAUUUGGCAGAGACUGGAAACUUCAGCUCCCUGCCAGUCUGGGAGUGUUCUAGGGUAGGGGUGCUUUGGAAAUGGUGGCUUUAUGAGAAUAUAUUACCUUGAGGAGCUGCAGAAUUCAAGAGAGUGGCCAAGUCCUAGUUGGUGGGAAAAAGGAGGAUGUGUCUGGGGCAGCAAGACAGGAGUAAUGUCAACUGAGAUGAAGAUUGGGAUACAUAAGCCCCCGGGAUAUUGGGAUAGGAACUUCAGAAGAGGAGGGAAAUAGAGUGGUGGGGGGUAUUUGGUGAAGUUGGACCUAUCAAUCACAUUAGUUAUUAAUACUUUAUGGGAUGGGAGAUUCCUCUGUGGGUAAUCUGGAAGACUAAUAGUCGUUCUCAAAUUUUAGCCUGCACCAAAAUCUCCUAGAGGACUUGUUAAAAUAGAGUGCUAGGCACGCCAUCCUGAGUCCCUGAUUUGAUAGGUCUGGGACAGAGCCUGAGAGUUUCCACUGUUAACAAAUGCAUUUAACAAAGGCUGAUAGAACACUAUAUGAGAAACACUGGACUAGACAAAUCACAGCCCACAGGCCUAAUCCAGUCUACCUGUUUUUAUAAACAAAGUUUUAUUGAAACCGUACUUUCUAGUUUGAACUUUUUUUUUCAUAAGACGAUACUUCUUUUAUGCAAGUACCAUUAAUUUUUAUACAUUUCUUUGCUCAUAAGGUUUAAAUUCCUGGUAGUGAUAGCAAUCAGAUUUAUAAAAGUAAGAUUUAUUAUGAAGUGAGGUAGCCUGUGCCUAUUAAUGCUACUGAAUUGCUGGCUAUUUUGAAAAUUGAGAUGUCAAUAUUGCAGUUGGCUUGAAAUGCAAGGUAUCUUUUAUAUGCUUAUAAAGAUGGAAAGAAGCUUUGCAUUUAGCAUUUUCCAUUUAGGCUUUGUGAAAAUUGUUCUUAUUUUAAAAAUAGCCUUAACGUGUGUGUGUGUGUGUUUCCUGAAUAUUCUAGAUGGUACAUGGUAUUCUGAAAACUGAAAGUCACACCACCAGGAAUAAAAUUAGGAAAAGUAGGAAUUGGAGGGAGGUCUCUAGAAAUGCUGUAGUAUUAUCUGAAUACCUCAAAUCUAAUCUAGGUCAUCUGGGUAGAAAUUCUGGGAGGGAUUUAUUUAAAUAUAAAUAAAAAUUUGUAUACGUAAACAUUUGAAGAAAGAUUUGUUUUUUUUUCUUUUAGAGUAAGAGGUGGUUGGCAUGCAUGUAUGAAAGGAAGGAAUUCAAAGUGUCUAGAAUUGGCAAUGUCUCUGGAGAGCAUGCAUUUGCUAUUGGGUGCCAGCCAUUAAGAUGAUCUCAUUCAUUUCUCCUCUGAUUCUGUGAUUGUUAAGUAACUUUUGGAUCACAUUUGGCUUCAUUUGGAUUUGCCUAUAGGAAGAGAAAGUGCUGAGUAGUAAAUAUAGGAAGCUGUCUACUUGGUAGUUGUAUUUCUCCCCAUGAAUGAUUUUUAUGCAUAUUCCCUGAGAGCUUGGCGAGUUUUGAAACUACCCAGGAUUCAGAUGUAUUCUUUUUGUACUGACAGUCACCUCUUACCUUGCAAGACUGAAGGCUGGACCCCACACUAUGGUCAGCAAAUUGAAGUGUUGCUGUGGGGGUCCAGUCAGGGUGACCAGCUUACCUAACAUCUAAUUUUAUUGGCCAUAUUUUAAAUUUAAGUUGUCUUGAUUGCAACUUAAAUUGUACAGAAUGAGUAGACUACUAGUAAACUAGGAAAAGAAAGUUUUUCUUGUAGAAAACUAGGAAAAGACAAAGAAGUCUAUUGACAACAGGGAAUAGGCUGGAGAUGAGGACCUGACCCAAGCUGGACCAAUUAGAACCCUUCCUUGGGAUUUUUGAAGCCAAUCUGCCAAGAAAAAAAAAAUCCACUAAUCCACAGAGCGAAGCACAGAUGAGGAUGGACAAUGAACACCCUGCCUGCAGUCCACAUAUUCCUGAGGGCCAGGAGCCCUUUCAUGGAAUGCCCAAGAACCCCUGUUGGUGCUCUGCAGAUGAGAAAAAUAGCUACUGAGAUCCUUGUUCCCUUGCUGAAGCUGGAAGGCCUCGUGGUCUGGAGAAAUGCCAGCUUUCGCAGUGGUUCAUCUGAGAACAGUGGAUGCUGGUCUUUCUCUGGGUAAUCCUUGGUCGAGAAUACUUUCUCCCCAAUUGGCCUGGGUUGUCAGGGAAGAGAGUAUUCAUCUGAGAAACUGCUUUGACAGUAUCAUUAAUAUCAUCAUUUUACAGACAAGGAAACAGAAGCUUAGAAAUGGUAAGUUGAUCAGUGUCAUAAGAGGUAACCUGACCUGACCAUAAGACCUGACCGUAAGAGGUCAGGUCUUCCACUUCACCUAAGUGAAGCCAGGCUUCCCAAGGCACAGCUCAGCACCUGCAGAGCCACAUUGCAAUGAGUUACAGCACCAUCCACUUACUGCCUAGAAUCAGCAUUUUGUUCCAGAAACAUAGGUCCGGGUUGCCCAGACCACACUCCCUAUUCCUCUUGGUGAUUUUCUUUCAUUUCUUCCACCACCUGGCCCCACGUGGGUCCACUCUUGUCCAUCAGAUGUGUUCUAAUAAAUAGUUAAAUACUAAACCCUCUUCUUCCAGAAGCAUCCUUGGUUCCUUCUACAUAUAUGUGUAGAUUCAUAUAUGUAAAAAAAGUAUGAAAAAGGAUCUUUCAUCAAUUUACUUAUCAGCUUCUUCUAAACCCAUGCUGUUUCCAAGCUGCAUAUCCAAUAAUAAAAAGUCACUAUUCCAAAACCAGUGGGUAGGAAUGAAAUUACUUUACCCAGGUGUAACUCAAAGGGAUCACUGAGUGAUUAUUUCCAGAACAAUGGGAUGACUUGCUCCAAAGGGCCUCAGUCUGUCACCCAUGCUGGAGUGCAGUGGUGGC